GUGAACAAGAAAUACAAAACACAUGGAACAUUUUAAGUUCCAAAACUCAAACAUUUUAAAGUAAGGCUUACAAAAAAUGUCUUUAUAGUCCAUGUAUAAUGCAUAACUAUUUUUCUUCUGGCAAAGCCGAAGCAUACUUGUUGUGUGCUCAGCUGGGGUUUUCCGCUAAAAUGCCACAUUCAGGCUGAACUCUAGUGUGUGUGUUCUCGAUUAUCCCCAUAAGUUAGAUUUAAGAAAAAAUGUAUGAGAAGCUGGUGAUUAGAACAUUUGUUUUCUUCUCUGCUAGGGAUGGGACCCAGGACCUUACACAUACUAGGCACAUGCUCUACCACUGAACUAUAUCCCCAUCUGGUUUCAAGGUUUUUUGUUUGUUUGUUUGUUUUGUUUUGUUUUUGGUACCACAGAUCCAACUCGGGACCUUGUGUUUGCAAGGCAAUGGCACCACUGAGCUAAAUCCCCAGCCCUGGUUUCAAGCUUUUGUAAAGCAUUCAUACUCAGGCACAGAAGAAAGGACGUGGACCCCAAAAGCCUCUCUCCCCACCCAACACACCCUUAUGCCUGUGGAUCCUUGCAGAACCUCUGCCACCUGAGCCAUCUCUCGUUACCCAGUGUCAGAAGUCCCCGCACACAAAGGACAGCUCAUCUUCUAAGGACUUAUCACAGAUAUCUGAUCUACAUUUAUGACCAAACAAAAAGAAUAAGUCUGGAUCUGAAUGUGGACUGUAAAAAGGUGACUUGUCAAUCACACCAUUGUUUUCUGCUGAAGCUAGCAGGCUGCCUGGGCUGCACAUUCCUGGGACGUGAAUAAUAUCAGUUGUGAUUACACUUCAGUAUCUCAUCCAUCACCAGCCCCAUGAAUACUGAAUAUAACCUAAUUAGGAAAUAAAUGUGAAGGGCCCUUUGCUGAGAAUGAACGCUGGGGGAACACAGCCUCUCCCUGACACGGGUGAGGCUUGCUGAGAGUCACACGCUGGUGUGGGUCCUCUGGGAUACAAGAGCAGACCUCACCAGUGCGGUCCACAUUCCUCACCUAAUCACCAGGAAGCCAAGAAGAGGACACCAUGCAUGCCACCCUGUAUUACUCUUGUUCAAUGCAUUGAGAAAGAGCUAUGUUAGGACUGAUAGUCAAUUCCAAAUAGUUAUGACAGUAUCAUUGAAGUAGUUAACUCCCCCA
rnacentral:lncRNA from 1 species